GACGUAGGGCGCGAGCGUUGUCCGGAUUUAUUGGGCGUAAAGAGCUCGUAGGCGGUUUGUCGCGUCUGCUGUGAAAACUCGGGGCUUAACCCCGAGCCUGCAGUGGAUACGGGCAGACUAGAGGUAGGUAGGGGAGAAUGGAAUUCCCGGUGUAGCGGUGAAAUGCGCAGAUAUCGGGAGGAACACCGGUGGCGAAGGCGGUUCUCUGGGCCUUACCUGACGCUGAGGAGCGAAAGCAUGGGGGAGCAAACAGG
rnacentral:rRNA from 1 species